GCCGUUUUAGCUCAGAAGGUAGAGCGUUUCCAUGGUAAGGAAGAGGUCCCGGGUUCAAAUCCCGGAAACGGCUC
rnacentral:tRNA from 1 species